rnacentral:lncRNA from 1 species
UUUUCCUCCGUCUCGCUACGAGGCGCGCCUCGAGGCGUACGCCUCGAGCGCUAUUUCGAACCUUGGUCUAUACUUUAACUUUGGAAAUCUAACACACCUUUUGAACUUCUGCCAACUUUAACAUACUUUCUUCAGCCUUCUUCUCCUCCUUGAUUGCUAUCUCAUUCUACAAACAUUAAAGCUUAUAUUACCACUUCGCAAGAAUAGUUCUGACUUUUGGUUGAGAUAAAAUUAUAUCAAUUGAAGCACCAGAAUCCAAUCUAAAUUAUCUUUAACAAUGGUAUCCAUGCAUAGGAAAGUAAAGUUUAACGAAUUGAUCAACAGAUACCAGCACCUAUAGCAUAUUAAUUGGAACAAACCAGUACUGAGUUAUUGGAAAGCUCAACAUAUAAAGAUCUCUGAAUUGUUAGAUCAACAGAUCCUGCAUUUGUUAAGGCAUGGGCUUCCAAAGCCUUUUAAUUGAUCCAAUCAUGUCUCGUGGACACAUCCUGCAUCACCAAUCCUUUAUUCUCUUUUUAUAUAUUUUGAAGAAGAAUAAGUACAGGAUGCAAAUCUCAACUAUAUAUGAUAUGCCCUAUAUGGUAUUUAGUUCAAAUAUCAAUCCACAAAAUAGAGUAAUGCUAGCGUAUGCAUAGGCGCAAUUGAAUUGAAAUAUCAAAUAUUGAUGGGUGAAGUUGAGUCAAGUUCCAAAUAAAGAAUUAAAGAAAUAACUUUCUAGUAGCUAGAAUAUAUCAUCAAGGUAGGUGGCCAGGUCUACUCACUUCCCUAUACAAGUUAUGACCCCAAAAAAUUAUAUAUCACCCAAAAAUCAGUGUAACAAUGAAUAGAAAUGUAAAAACACAGGAAAUGAUAUUUAAUGCAAUAAAUAACAUAAAAUUAAUGUUAAUCUGGUAUUGGAAGACUUCAAUUCAUACAUGCUCUUGUUUCAGUUGAGUAAGUUCUCCCUUUACAGUUUCCAUAGUAGCUCUAAGUCGUGCUGUGACAGUUCAUUCAUACCUGCAGAGAAGAGAUGUUUUGGGUUGCUUUAUUUCUACAGAGCCACCGCCGCCGGAUUCCCGCCAAAUCCAUCGGCUUCUGCACCGUUGGAUGAAUCCAACUCGACGGUAACCGGGGUUUUGGAGGAUAUAGAAGGGACGGUCAUCGGGGUUACACCAGAUUCUUAGGACAAAAAAAGUUACCCAAAGAAGAUAACACAUGCGAUUCCCACAAAUAUGACGAAAAAAUAUUGCAAGAGUUCAAAAUCGAGGACAUACCAGUUAGGGUUUUCUUAGAUUAAUCCUCUGUUCGACUGAUUUGAGGGCAGAAGUCGAUCGAUUUGGCUUCCACCAUGAAACAAUCAAGAGGGCGGAAGAGAAAAGUUUGACCUAAGAACUUCUGAUUCGUGCUUCUGCAGUUUGGAAAAUGCUCAAGAUCUUCUCCGUUUGGAUCGUUGGAGAGAAGGGCACCCGCUUCCUUUGAUCGUAGAGAGAGAAAGUACAGAGAUAAGAGAGAAAGUAGUCUUGUUUUAAUUUCAAAUUUUCGCUUCCUGUUUCUA